rnacentral:rRNA from 1 species
GACGAACGCUGGCGGUGUGCUUAACACAUGCAAGUCGAACGGUAAGGCCCUUUCGGGGGUACACGAGUGGCGAACGGGUGAGUAAAACGUGAGUAACCUGCCCUCCUCGCGGGUAUAACAGUCGAAAACGUUUGCUAAUCCUGGAUAUGAGCUUGCAAGGCAUCUUGUGGGUUGGAAAGAUUUUUUUUGGUUGGGGAUGGACUCGCGGCCUAUCGGCUUGUUGGUGUGGUAGUGGCCCACCAAGGCUUCGACGGGUAGCCGGCAUGAGAGUGCGAACGGCCACAUGGGGACUGAGAUACGGCCCAAACUCCUACGGGAGGCAGCAGUGAGGAAUAUUGAACAAUGGACGGAAGACUGAUGCAGGAACGCCGCGUGCGGGAUGACGGCCUUCGGGUUGUAAACCGCUAUCAAUUGUGACGAAGCUUUUUUGUGACGGUAGCAGUAGAAGAAGCACCGGCUAACUACGUG